CCCAGCCUUUUCUCAAGAGUCCCCCUUUACAAAAACACAAAGAGCUACCUUCCUACAGUCCCUCCCACCUCUGUCAGACAGGCCCUCAAGACCAUCCAAGGUCUGGAGGCUCAGGCAAACAGGUUGGGAGCUCGUGAGGCAGUCGCACAAAGUCCCCCCUUUCUUUAGAUUCCUCACCAGCAGAGGCAGCCUAUGCCUCCCGGGGCUUUGGCGAAGAUUGUGUAAACUGACCUGUGUGAUCGCUACUCUGCAAACUGGAGAGCAGUCAUUUGCAGCCCAGGAAAAGCACCGUGUGCUCAGGUCAACAGCUCUGGGAAGGGUUAGAACUCCCUUUCCGCGGAGAACCUUUCCUUCAAGCAAGAUAAAGGCACAGCUUCUGGGCUGGAACUUAAAAAGAGGAGGUUACCGGACACCAGAUGCCUCCAUGUUGGACUCCUCCACAAAGGAACCAUCACAGAGAACGCAGUCCUCGCAUCAGGACCGAGGACGCUUUCUAAGAGAUGCACAUUCAUGAGGUAUGAAGUGUGCCCUGGAACGUGGCAUAAAUUGCUAGCUUUUGUCACACGAGGCUGACCACAACCCACAACAGUGACGCAUUCGGAUGAGGUGGUAGAGAAACAUCUGCUUGGAGUCUGAGCAAGAUGAGCAAACGUGGACGCCUGUGAGCCUUCCGAAUCCCGCUGCCCAGGGUGUGGCCUCUAUUGCCUUGGCCAAAGAGAUACUUGGAGGAGGAAGACACCUUUGUUUGGGAGCUUUAAUCUGUGUGAUAUAUCUAUGAAGCACGGGAUGAAGAGAGGGAUGCCUGUUCUUCUCACCGAUGAAGUAAAAUAGCCACAGACAGAACUUUAAGAUGUCUCCCCUGUCACAGAAUAUUGAGGAAAAUACAGGUGCUUACCACAUUGGACAAGCUAGGCCAUGUUCUUUCAAGAAUGAUUGUGAGGAGUGCUGAUGUGUACUGAAGGUAGACGAGAGGUUAUGAAGAAGCGUGCCCAGCCGUUGUGGCUGACAUCUGAAUGGACAGAGCUGUGAGGGUGAACAUCUCUGGAGACCCGAUUAUCAGUGGUUCUUAUUUUACCCCAUUUUCAGUUUGCCCAUGAGGAAUUAUUUGUUUUAAUAUUUUGACACAGGAUCUCACUAUGCAGUUCAAGCUGACCUCAAACAUUCUGUCCUCCUGCCUCAGACUCUUGAAGGCUGGGAGUACAGCUGUGACCUGCCCUACCCGGCUGUUUUUGUAUUUAAUUGUUUUCUUCUAGUCAAGUUGCUGAAGGGAAAUGAUUUGAAAUAUAUGAUCAACUUUGUGAUGGGCUAGGCCUGAGUUGGAACCCUCUCUACUAAAGUGUGUAUAGCUUGGGACAAGGCUCCUGAAAUAUGUUUUGAUACUUACAUAUACAUACAUGCAAAUAUACACAAACAAAUAUACACA